rnacentral:rRNA from 1 species
GACGAACGCUGGCGGCGUGCUUAACACAUGCAAGUCGAACGGAAAGGCCCUGCUUUUGUGGGGUGCUCGAGUGGCGAACGGGUGAGUAACACGUGAGUAACCUGCCCUUGACUUUGGGAUAACUUCAGGAAACUGGGGCUAAUACCGGAUAGGAGCUCCUGCUGCAUGGUGGGGGUUGGAAAGUUUCGGCGGUUGGGGAUGGACUCGCGGCUUAUCAGCUUGUUGGUGGGGUAGUGGCUUACCAAGGCUUUGACGGGUAGCCGGCCUGAGAGGGUGACCGGCCACAUUGGGACUGAGAUACGGCCCAGACUCCUACGGGAGGCAGCAGUGGGGAAUAUUGCACAAUGGGCGGAAGCCUGAUGCAGCAACGCCGCGUGCGGGAUGACGGCCUUCGGGUUGUAAACCGCUUUCGCCUGUGACGAAGCGUGAGUGACGGUAAUGGGUAAAGAAGCACCGGCUAACUACGUGCCAGCAGCCGCGGUGAUACGUAGGGUGCGAGCGUUGUCCGGAUUUAUUGGGCGUAAAGAGCUCGUAGGUGGUUGAUCGCGUCGGAAGUGUAAUCUUGGGGCUUAACCCUGAGCGUGCUUUCGAUACGGGUUGACUUGAGGAAGGUAGGGGAGAAUGGAAUUCCUGGUGGAGCGGUGGAAUGCGCAGAUAUCAGGAGGGACACCAGUGGCGAAGGCGGUUCUCUGGGCCUUUCCUGACGCUGAGGAGCGAAAGCGUGGGGAGCGAACAGGCUUAGAUACCCUGGUAGUCCACGCUGUAAACGGUGGGUACUAGGUGUGGGGUCCAUUCCACGGGUUCCGUGCCGUAGCUAACGCUUUAAGUACCCCGCCUGGGGAGUACGGCCGCAAGGCUAAAACUCAAAGGAAUUGACGGGGCCCCGCACAAGCGGCGGAGCAUGCGGAUUAAUUCGAUGCAACGCGUAGAACCUUACCUGGGUUUGACAUGGAUCGGGAGCGCUCAGAGAUGGGUGUGCCUCUUUUGGGGUCGGUUCACAGGUGGUGCAUGGCUGUCGUCAGCUCGUGUCGUGAGAUGUUGGGUUAAGUCCCGCAACGAGCGCAACCCUUGUUCACUGUUGCCAGCACGUUAUGGUGGGGACUCAGUGGAGACCGCCGGGGUCAACCCGGAGGAAGGUGGGGAUGACGUCAAGUCAUCAUGCCCCUUAUGUCCAGGGCUUCACGCAUGCUACAAUGGCUGGUACAGAGAGUGGCGAGCCUGUGAGGGUGAGCGAAUCUCGGAAAGCCGGUCUCAGUUCGGAUUGGGGUCUGCAACUCGACCUCAUGAAGUCGGAGUCGCUAGUAAUCGCAGAUCAGCAACGCUGCGGUGAAUACGUUCCCGGG